AGUACAUGUCAUAACCUUCACUAAGAGAAGGUCUCAGAACACUGGGGGCUUCUGAAACAAGCUGUUGAACCUGGAUAGUUCCCUAGGAGUCAGGUUUUCUCUGCAACACAUUCAGCUGAACAAGAUGCAAUGGUGGGUGACCUGAAUUCCUCCAACCUCUAUUAUUGCCCAGCUUUCUUAUUAUAACCACUUUUUCCAUCCUGACAAGGCACUCCCAGAUAUGACUAACAAAACUAAAGUGGAAGAGGUUUAAAAAUUAUCUGGCAUCUGUUUGAACUGAAUCACUAAACUGAAUUCCAAUUACUCGGGAAAUUAUUGUCCUUUUGGAAAGAAUACAUCCAAACUUCAUGCAUGUCACCACCUACUAGGAAACAGCAGAGGCAGAUCUGAAUUUGUCAGAGGGAAGAGCACCAGCCUGAAUUCUUGACGAAUGUACAUUUACAUUUUGGGCCUUGGCAGAAUUAAUCAGCAUCCAUAAUCCAUUUUGUAAAGAUCUUCGAAGAAAUGGCUACUCAGGAAGAUUAACGGGCUUUGAUUUGCAACUUUGUGCUUCCGUCGAAGAACCAGAAGGGGUUAAAAUGUUUUCCCAUGCCUGGCUCUGCUCAGCCUUCAUGGCCCAUAGAAGUGUGGAACUACAGAAUCAUACCGUGUGUCUUUCUUUGACUUGCCACUUAUUC